UUACCCACUCCCGGCACGGGGAGGUAGUGACGAAAAAUAACGAUACGGGACUCAUCCGAGGCCCCGUAAUCGGAAUGAGUAUACUCUAAAUCCUUAUACGAGUAUCAAUUGGAGGGCAAGUCUGGUGCCAGCAGCCGCGGUAAUUCCAGCUCCAAUAGCGUAUAUUAAAGUUGUUGCGGUUAAAAAGCUCGUAGUUGGAUCUGUGUCCCGCGCCGUCGGUUCACCGCCUGUCGGUGUUCAACUGGCGUGUAUGCGGGACGUCCUGCCGGUGGCGGUCCGGUCCCCCGCGUGUACGCAGGCGCCUACUGCUUGCGUUGUCGCCGAAGGCCCGUGGGUGCGGCCGGCCGCCUUUUCAAUCCCGUCGCGGUGCUCUUUACCGGGUGUCGGGGCGGGUUUACUUUGAACAAAUUAGAGUGCUUUAAGCAGGCCCUGUCCCCCUGUAUGUUGUGUGCAUGGAAUAAUGGAAUAGGACCUCGGUUCUAUUUUGUUGGUUUUCGGAAUCUGAGGUAAUGAUCAAUGGGGACAGGCGGGGGCAUUCGUAUUGCGACGUUAGAGGUGAAAUUCUUGGAUCGUCGCAAGACGGACCGAAGCGAAAGCAUUUGCCAAGUAUGUUCUCGUCGAUCAAGAACGAAAGUUAGAGGUUCGAAGGCGAUCAGAUACCGCCCUAGUUCUAACCAUAAACUAUGCCUGCCAGCGAUCCGCCGAAGUUCCUCCGAUGACUCGGCGGGCAGCUUCCGGGAAACCAGAGCUUUUGGGUUCCGGGGGAAGUAUGGUUGCAAAGCUGAAACUUAAAGGAAUUGACGGAAGGGCACCACCAGGAGUGGAGCCUGCGGCUUAAUUUGACUCAACACGGGAAAACUCACCAGGCCCGGACACCGGAAGGAUUGACAGAUUGAGAGCUCUUUCUUGAUUCGGUGGGUGGUGGUGCAUGGCCGUUCUUAGUUGGUGGAGCGAUUUGUCUGGUUAAUUCCGAUAACGAACGAGACUCUAGCCUACUAACUAGGCGUACCCGGUAUCCACAAUCGUGCUACCGGCGGUCAAAUUUCUUCUUAGAGGGACAGGCGGCUUCUAGCCGCACGAGACUGAGCAAUAACAGGUCUGUGAUGCCCUUAGAUGUCCUGGGCCGCACGCGCGCUACACUGAAGGAAUCAGCGUGUCUUCCCUGUCCGAAAGGACCGGGUAACCCGCUGAACCUCCUUUGUGCUAGGGAUUGGGGCUUGCAAUUGUUCCCCAUGAACGAGGAAUUCCCAGUAAGCGCGAGUCAUAAGCUCGCGUUGAUUACGUCCCUGCCCUUUGUACACACCGCCC
rnacentral:rRNA from 1 species